AGAGUUUGAUCCUGGCUCAGGAUGAACGCUAGCGGCAGGCUUAAUACAUGCAAGUCGAGGGGCAGCAUGAAGUAGCAAUACUUUGAUGGCGACCGGCAAACGGGUGCGGAACACGUACACAACCUUCCUUUAAGUGGGGAAUAGCCCAGAGAAAUUUGGAUUAAUACCCCGUAACACAACGAAGUGGCAUCACUUUGUUGUUAUAGUUUCGGCGCUUAAUGAUGGGUGUGCGUAUGAUUAGAUAGUUGGCGAGGUAACGGCUCACCAAGUCUACGAUCAUUAGCUGAUGUGAGAGCAUGAUCAGCCACACGGGCACUGAGACACGGGCCCGACUCCUACGGGAGGCAGCAGUAAGGAAUAUUGGUCAAUGGACGCAAGUCUGAACCAGCCAUGCCGCGUGAAGGAUUAAGGUCCUCUGGAUUGUAAACUUCUUUUAUAUGGGACGAAAAAAGGUCUUUCUAGACCCCUUGACGGUACCAUAUGAAUAAGCACCGGCUAACUCCGUGCCAGCAGCCGCGGUAAUACGGAGGGUGCAAGCGUUAUCCGGAUUCACUGNGUUUAAAGGGUGCGUAGGCGGGUAGGUAAGUCAGUGGUGAAAUCCUGGAG
rnacentral:rRNA from 1 species